AACGAACGCUGGCGGCAUGCCUAACACAUGCAAGUCGAACGAGACCUUCGGGUCUAGUGGCGCACGGGUGCGUAACGCGUGGGAAUCUGCCCUCUGGUACGGAAUAACUCAGGGAAUCUUGAGCUAAUACCGUAUAAUGACUUCGGUCCAAAGAUUUAUCGCCUGAGGAUGAGCCCGCGUAGGAUUAGCUUGUUGGUGAGGUAAAAGCUCACCAAGGCGACGAUCCUCAGCUGGUCUGAGAGGAUGAUCAGCCACACUGGGACUGAGACACGGCCCAGACUCCUACGGGAGGCAGCAGUGGGGAAUAUUGGACAAUGGGCGAAAGCCUGAUCCAGCAAUGCCGCGUGAGUGAUGAAGGCCUUAGGGUUGUAAAGCUCUUUUACCCGGGAUGAUAAUGACAGUACCGGGAGAAUAAGCCCCGGCUAACUCCGUGCCAGCAGCCGCGGUAAAAC
rnacentral:rRNA from 1 species